AUGAAAGUAAUUUUCCAAGGUGGCCAAAGACUGUUGCCUACCUCUGAAUUUUUAGCAUCUGACACUGCUUCUAAAUUACAUGAUGGUUUGGACUACUGCUUCCUGCAAGUUUGUCCUGAUCUAGGUUUUAAAGAUAGGAUACAUUCAAAGAUGGGACAAGACCGUGACAUCAUGCUGAGUUUAGUCCUGAAAGUGAAUCAUAGAAAUUCCUGUUUACCAAGAUAUUCCAUAUUAUCUUCAUUUAAUUGGAAAGAAGACUUGAGAAAAAUAUUGAAAAAAAUGUGAAAUUCUGAGGCACAAAAUACUUUUUGACAUCUGAUGUUAUAAACUUACCCUUGUAGUAAAGCUGCGAUACAUCACAAAUGAAACAUUCAAUAUUCUUUCCAGUAAAUAAACAUCAGUGGUAUUUUGGAAAUAU
ensembl:lincRNA